rnacentral:lncRNA from 1 species
CAAAGCAGAAANUACAUUACAAUGGCUGGUGAAUAUGAGCUGAGACUAAUCUGGCUGCUCCCACCAAACAAUCUUUUUGGCUCAAAUGUCGCUGCUAAGUGGCUUGUGGAGAUCAUAAUUUCCAGUUUACAAAUUGGAUUCUCAUUGUUUAUUGCAACUCGAGAUGUGAAUUCUUGAUGUUGAUAAUCAUUUAGUUUGCUUCUUAAAAACAAUUGAUAUUGUAGAGUCCAAAAGUUGAUAUAGUUGAAUAUCUGUGUAUUCCUUUCAAGAAAUUGAUGUUAUGGAAGAGUACUCUUUUGUUGCAAAUUUUUGAAUUCAAUGUUCAAAUCAAAUAUCAGUUGUUACAAUUUUCUAGAGAAAUGGUGCUUGG